rnacentral:lncRNA from 1 species
GUUAACGCGGGCCGCGAGAGAUCGAAGUUGUGGCGCAGCCCGGUGAUGACACGUGUCAUCAUCGUGGCGGGUCUAGAGGGUGAGCCGGACAAGCUAGUCUGUUGACCAGGGUUGACGCGGGCCGCGUAACCCCUGUCCUUUCUUUACGCGGGCAGCGUGGGAACCAGUUUCAGCACUAUAUAAGAAGGCCAUCGGGUUUCACUUUCCGUCGCUCACAUCUUCCUUUCUAAACGAAUUUCUGAAGUAGUAGAGAUUAUAGUUGGGUAUUAUACCCCUAAUUAGCGAAGCUCUGCCUCGUUGUAAGUAUCAUAACCCCUGGAUACGUAGUAGAUACUCUGCCCGAUUGAUCUAGGGUUCCGUAACGGCUGUCGUGGUUCUGCCCGACGUAGUCGUUGGAAUGUCGUCUCGGGGAGAGUAUUACUAAUGUUAAAAUGGGUUAUUAUACUAACGCGUGUGCAUUGUUUAUUACUUAGAUUAUAGCCAGGGAAUCACAAAGGAAAGCCCUAUAAUAGCAAUGGUACAAUUAUGAUGGUAACUUAGUAUGAAGCCAAUAAAAGCCAGCUGGAGAGCACUGAAGGCUUGGAAAAGUGGCAAUAAAGUUACCUAAAAUAAAAUAGAUGUUUUUAUUAAACAAAAUAGGAUGUAGUCCUAUGAAAAUGUAUGUACUGCAAAACUUGGGUUUUAUCCCAUGUGUUUAAUGUUAUAAAAUGUGGUGGUU